AAAAUGAUGGCAGAAGGAACUUGAAUCGGAACCCAAACAUUUCUACUCUGGUGGAUGUCACCAUGUGCUACAGUAGUUGCUGCAAUUCCCAAGAAGUGUGUUCAGUAUGGCCUUCGCUUCGAUUUCUUCAAAGGUGCCAGGAAGGUUUGACGUGUAUGCUGGUAUUCGCCAUUAUCGCAGCCGUCCUUGGAAUGUUUCAGUUUGGAUACAACACUGGAGUCAUCAAUGUCCCACA